rnacentral:lncRNA from 1 species
UUCGAUCCUUGGUACAAACCUUGCAAUUUUUGAUGGAUUUCCCUAUAAUAGUGACUCGGAACAAACCUCCUCCUCAUCAACAUCUUCAACUCAUCCCAAGUGCUAAUUGGCCUUUCCCGACCCCUACGCCGUGAUGUAAGUACUUGAUCCCACCAAGAUAUCGCGUAAUCCACAAAUUCAAGCACUGCCAAUUUUACCUUUUUCUCCUCCGAAUAAUUAUAGCACU